UACGUAGGUGGCAAGCGUUGUCCGGAUUUACUGGGCGUAAAGAGCGCGCAGGCGGUCGGAUUAGUCGCGUGUGAAAGCCCCCGGCUCAACUGGGGAGGGUCACGCGAUACUGUUCGACUCGAAGGCAGGAGAGGGAAGUGGAAUUCCCGGUGUAGUGGUGAAAUGCGUAGAUAUCGGAAGGAACAUCAGUGGCGAAGGCGGCUAUCUGGACAACAACUGACACUGAGGUACGAAAGCGUGGGGAGCAAACAGG
rnacentral:rRNA from 1 species